UGGGGAAUAUUGCACAAUGGGCGCAAGCCUGAUGCAGCCAUGCCGCGUGUGUGAAGAAGGCCUUCGGGUUGUAAAGCACUUUCAGUCGUGAGGAAGGUGGUGUAGUUAAUAGCUGCAUCAUUUGACGUUAGCGACAGAAGAAGCACCGGCUAACUCCGUGCCAGCAGCCGCGGUAAUACGGAGGGUGCGAGCGUUAAUCGGAAUUACUGGGCGUAAAGCGCAUGCAGGUGGUUAGUUAAGUCAGAUGUGAAAGCCCGGGGCUCAACCUCGGAACUGCAUUUGAAACUGGCUGACUAGAGUACUGUAGAGGGGGGUAGAAUUUCAGGUGUAGCGGUGAAAUGCGUAGAGAUCUGAAGGAAUACCAGUGGCGAAGGCGGCCCCCUGGACAGAUACUGACACUCAGAUGCGAAAGCGUGGGGAGCAAACAGGAUUAGAUACCCCCGUAGUCC
rnacentral:rRNA from 1 species